ACCUCGGCUGGCCGGGCCAGGCGCCGUCGUACAAGGUGGGCCAGCGGCUCUGGGAGCAGAUCCGCGCCGAGCUCGAAUCCCGGCCGGGCUUC
rnacentral:tRNA from 1 species